AACGGGUGAAUAACGCGUGAGGAACCUGCCUCAAAGAGGGGGACAACAGUUGGAAACGACUGCUAAUACCGCAUAAGCCCACGGUGCCGCAUGGCACAGAGGGAAAAGGAGCAAUCCGCUUUGAGAUGGCCUCGCGUCCGAUUAGCUAGUUGGUGAGGUAACGGCCCACCAAGGCAACGAUCGGUAGCCGGACUGAGAGGUUGAACGGCCACAUUGGGACUGAGACACGGCCCAGACUCCUACGGGAGGCAGCAUG
rnacentral:rRNA from 1 species